rnacentral:rRNA from 1 species
UUUUACAAUGGAGAGUUUGAUCCUGGCUCAGGAUGAACGCUAGCUAUAGGCUUAACACAUGCAAGUCGAGGGGAAACGGCAGAGAGUGCUUGCACACUUUGGACGUCGACCGGCGCACGGGUGAGUAACGCGUAUCCAACCUGCCCUUUACUUGGGGAUAACCCGUUGAAAGACGGACUAAUACCCAAUGAUAUUCAUUGAUGACAUCUGACAUGAAUUAAAGAUUUAUCGGUAUAGGAUGGGGAUGCGUCUGAUUAGCUUGUUGGUGAGGUAACGGCUCACCAAGGCUACGAUCAGUAGGGGUUCUGAGAGGAAGGUCCCCCACAUUGGAACUGAGACACGGUCCAAACUCCUACGGGAGGCAGCAGUGAGGAAUAUUGGUCAAUGGACGAGAGUCUGAACCAGCCAAGUAGCGUGCAGGAUGACGGCCCUAUGGGUUGUAAACUGCUUUUGUUUGGGAAUAAUCGACAUUACGUGUAAUGUUUUGCAUGUACCAUUCGAAUAAGGACCGGCUAAUUCCGUGCCAGCAGCCGCGGUAAUACGGAAGGUCCAGGCGUUAUCCGGAUUUAUUGGGUUUAAAGGGAGUGUAGGCGGUUGGUUAAGCGUGUUGUGAAAUGUAGAUGCUCAACAUCUGACUUGCAGCGCGAACUGGCUGACUUGAGUACACACAACGUAGGCGGAAUUCAUGGUGUAGCGGUGAAAUGCUUAGAUAUCAUGAAGAACUCCGAUUGCGAAGGCAGCUUACGGGAGUGUUACUGACGCUUAAGCUCGAAGGUGCGGGUAUCGAACAGGAUUAGAUACCCUGGUAGUCCGCACAGUAAACGAUGGAUGCCCGCUGUUAGCACCUGGUGUUAGCGGCUAAGCGAAAGCAUUAAGCAUCCCACCUGGGGAGUACGCCGGCAACGGUGAAACUCAAAGGAAUUGACGGGGGCCCGCACAAGCGGAGGAACAUGUGGUUUAAUUCGAUGAUACGCGAGGAACCUUACCCGGGCUUGAAUUGUAGGAGCACGAUACAGAGAUGUUGAGGUCCU